rnacentral:rRNA from 1 species
CGGCGGACGGGUGAGUAACGCGUGGGUAACCUACCCUGUACACACGGAUAACAUACCGAAAGGUAUGCUAAUACGGGAUAAUAUAUUUGAGAGGCAUCUCUUUGAAUAUCAAAGGUGAGCCAGUACAGGAUGGACCCGCGUCUGAUUAGCUAGUUGGUAAGGUAACGGCUUACCAAGGCGACGAUCAGUAGCCGACCUGAGAGGGUGAUCGGCCACAUUGGAACUGAGACACGGUCCAA